rnacentral:rRNA from 1 species
GACGAACGCUGGCGGCGUGCUUAACACAUGCAAGUCGAACGGGAAGAAAAAGAAGAGCUUGCUCUUUUUUGGAUUCUAGUGGCAAACGGGUGAGUAACACGUAAACAACCUGCCUUCAGGAUGGGGACAACAGACGGAAACGACUGCUAAUACCGAAUACCUUCCAAUUUCCGCAUGGAGAUAGGAAGAAAGGGUGGCCUCUACUUGUAAGCUAUCGCCUGAAGAGGGGGUUGCGUCUGAUUAGCUAGUUGGUGAGGUAACGGACCACCAAGGCGAGGAUCAGUAGCCGGUCUACGAGGAUGAACGGCCACACGGGAACUCAGACACGGUCCAGACUCCUACGGGAGGCAGCAAGGGGGAAUCUUCCGCAAUGGACGAAAGUCUGACGGAGCAACGCCGCGUGAACGAUGAAGGUCUUCGGAUUGUAAAGUUCUGUGAUCCGGGACGAAGGCAUCAAUUGAGAAUAUUGAUUGAUGUUGACGGUACCGGAAAAGCAAGCCACGGCUAACUACGUGCCAGCCGCCGCAGUAA